CCUACGGGAGGCAGCAGUGAGGAAUAUUGGUCAAUGGACGAGAGUCUGAACCAGCCAAGUAGCGUGAAGGAUGACUGCCCUAUGGGUUGUAAACUUCUUUUAUAUGGGAAUAAAACGUUCCACGUGUGGGAUUUUGUAUGUACCAUAAGAAUAAGGAUCGGCUAACUCCGUGCCAGCAGCCGCGGUAAUACGGAGGAUCCGAGCGUUAUCCGGAUUUAUUGGGGUUAAAGGGAGCGUAGGUGGAUUGUUAAGUCAGUUGUGAAAGUUUGCGGCUCAACCGUAAAAUUGCAGUUGAAACUGGCAGUCUUGAGUACAGGAGAGGUGGGCGGAAUUCGUGGUGUAGCGGUGAAAUGCUUAGAUAUCACGAAGAACUCCGAUUGCGAAGGCAGUUCACUGGACUGCAACUGACACUGAGGCUCGAAAGUGUGGGUAUCAAACAGGAUUAGAUACCCCAGUAGUC
rnacentral:rRNA from 1 species